rnacentral:rRNA from 1 species
GAUCCUGGCUCCGGAUGAACGCUAGCUACAGGCUUAACACAUGCAAGUCGAGGGGCAGCAUGGUCUUAGCUUGCUAAGGCCGAUGGCGGCCGGCGCACGGGUGAGUAACACGUAUCCAACCUGCCGUCUACUCUUGGACAGCCUUCUGAAAGGAAGAUUAAUACAAGAUGGCAUCAUGAGUCCGCAUGUUCACAUGAUUAAAGGUAUUCCGGUAGACGAUGGGGAUGCG